rnacentral:rRNA from 1 species
UACGAAGGGGGCUAGCGUUGUUCGGAAUUACUGGGCGUAAAGCGUGCGCAGGCGGUUUUGUAAGACAGGUGUGAAAUCCCCGGGCUUAACCUGGGAACUGCAUUUGUGACUGCAAGGCUGGAGUGCGGCAGAGGGGGAUGGAAUUCCGCGUGUAGCAGUGAAAUGCGUAGAUAUGCGGAGGAACACCGAUGGCGAAGGCAAUCCCCUGGGCCUGCACUGACGCUCAUGCACGAAAGCGUGGGGAGCAAACAGG